UGGGGAAUAUUGCACAAUGGGGGAAACCCUGAUGCAGCGACGCCGCGUGAACGAAGAAGGUAUUCGUAUCGUAAAGUUCUGUCCUAUGGGAAGACAAUGACAGUACCAUAGAAGAAAGCUCCGGCUAAAUACGUGCCAGCAGCCGCGGUAAUACGUAUGGAGCGAGCGUUGUCCGGAAUUAUUGGGCGUAAAGGGUACGCAGGCGGUUUAAUAAGUCGAAUGUUAAAGAUCGGGGCUCAACCCCGCAAAGCAUUGGAAACUGAUAAACUUGAGUAGUGGAGAGGAAAGUGGAAUUCCUAGUGUAGUGGUGAAAUACGUAGAUAUUAGGAGGAAUACCAGUAGCGAAGGCGACUUUCUGGACACAAACUGACGCUGAGGUACGAAAGCGUGGGGAGCAAACAGG
rnacentral:rRNA from 1 species